rnacentral:lncRNA from 1 species
CCCACAAUAUUAUGUUGUUCCCCAAGUUUUGGACUCAAUCCGAUAUCGAUUGGUCCUUGAAAUCGGACAAUUCAGGUUCGUACGAAGUUCGUUCUGAAAUGGGGUGAUUAGUGUAUUAAAUAGUUCUAGAGAUUGGAUUUCACUCAAAACCCACCAAAUGACUCCUCCCACAAUAUUAUGAUGUUCCCCAAGUUUUGGACUCAAUCCGAUAUCGAUUGGUCCUUGAAAUCGGACAAUUCAGGUUCGUACAAAGUUCGUUCUGAAAUGGGGUGGUUGGUGUAUUGUAUAGUUCUAGGGAUUGUAUUUCACUCAAAACCCACCAAAUGACUCCUCCCACAAUAUUAUGAUGUUCCCCAAGUUUUGGACUCAAUCCGAUAUCGAUUGGUCCUUGAAAUCGGACAAUUCAGGUUCGUACGAAGUUCGUUCAUAAAUGGGGUGGUUGGUGUAUUGUAUAGUUCUAGGGAUUGGAUUUCACUCAAAACCAACCAAAUGACUCCUCCCAAAAUAUUAUGAUGUUACCCAAGUUUUGGACUCAAU